rnacentral:rRNA from 1 species
GAACAAAAAAUCCUCCGAACGAUUUUAAAGGCUAGACUUACAAGUCAAACCCAAAUUAUCGCUUAUUGAUCCAAAAACUUGAUCAACGGAACA